rnacentral:rRNA from 1 species
GACAGAGGGGGCAAGCGUUGCUCGGAAUUACUGGGCGUAAAGGGCGCGUAGGCGGGAUGGCAAGUCGGUCGUGAAAUCCCUCGGCUCAACCGAGGAACGUCGAUCGAUACUGCUGUUCUUGAGGAUUGCAGAGGAGACUGGAAUUCCCGGUGUAGCGGUGAAAUGUGUAGAGAUCGGGAGGAACACCGGUGGCGAAGGCGGGUCUCUGGGCAAUUCCUGACGCUGAGGAGCGAAAGCAUGGGUAGCGAACAGG